UGGCUAGUCUUUUUCACUCUUAGUGGUAUCCUUUCAUAAAAUUUGUUAAGUUUUAAUGUAGUUGCAUUUAUCAGUCUCUUCUUUCAUGGUUAGUGCUUCUGUGUCCUGUUUAAGAACGUUUUAUUUUCUACUCCAAAGUCAUAAAGAUUCUGCCAUGUCAGAAGCUCUCUUAGAAACUUUAUGGUUUUAUCAUUUACUUUUAGAUAACCUCUGGACUAGAAGUGGUUGUAUGUAAGGUAUGAGCUGGGGUCAAGGCUAAUCUUUUCUCUAAGUGUUUCAGGUCAAGAUUCCCGGGAAACAGAAUCUGGAACAUUGAGAUUUGUGUGCAGUUUUACUGGGGUAAAACUCUCAGGCAGAACCUAACAGGGAGUGAAGGAAACAGAAUUGGCACUUACCCCAGAAGGAUGGAGGGAGAAGUUAAGCUGUAGUGAUACCAUUGCAACAGUGACCUAAACUAGUCCCAAGGGGAGAUCUUGAGCCAGAAGUGUCCUUCAGAGACCAAUCUAGGCAAGAGGCCAGGACUUUGAACCUAUGCAUCAGACAGUUCUUGGAUACGGGCUACCCUCAGGGAGAGAGUAUCAUGCUGGAUGAAGCAGUUUUCUUCAGCUAAGAGAAGUUCCAGAAAGGGACUAGUCUCAAACUCCUGGCCUCAAGUGAUCCUCCUACCUCUCCAAAGUGCUGGGAUUAUAGGCAUGAACCACCAUACCUGGCCAAUAAUGAAUAUCAGACCUCAAGAAAAAGCACUGUUUGCAUUGAACAGGAACAGAACGGGCACAGUGGCUCAUGCCU
rnacentral:lncRNA from 10 species